AGUGAACGCUGGCGGUAGGCCUAACACAUGCAAGUCGAACGGCAGCACAGUAAGAGCUUGCUCUUACGGGUGGCGAGUGGCGGACGGGUGAGGAAUACAUCGGAAUCUACUUUUUUGUGGGGGAUAACGUAGGGAAACUUACGCUAAUACCGCAUACGACCUACGGGUGAAAGCAGGGGAUCUUCGGACCUUGCGCGAUUGAAUGAGCCGAUGUCGGAUUAGCUAGAUGGCGGGGUAAAGGCCCACCAAGGCGACGAUCCGUAGCUGGUCUGAGAGGAUGAUCAGCCACACUGGAACUGAGACACGGUCCAGACUCCUACGGGAGGCAGCAGUGGGGAAUAUUGGACAAUGGGCGCAAGCCUGAUCCAGCCAUACCGCGUGGGUGAAGAAGGCCUUCGGGUUGUAAAGCCCUUUUGUUGGGAAAGAAAAGCAGCAGGUUAAUACCCCGCUGUUCUGACGGUACCCAAAGAAUAAGCACCGGCUAACUUCGUG
rnacentral:rRNA from 1 species